AUAUAUAUAAAUUAAGGUACAACAAUCAACAAAAUCCACUAGGCAUCUUUAUAAAGAUGCCUAGUGGAUUUUGUUGAUUGUUGUACCUUAAUU